UACGUAGGUGGCAAGCGUUUGUCCGGAUUUACUGGGCGUAAAGAGCGCGCAGGCGGUCGUUCAAGUCGCGUGUGAAAGCCCCCCGGCUCAACUGGGGAGGGUCACGCGAUACUGAUCGACUCGAAGGCAGGAGAGGGUAGUGGAAUUCCCGGUGUAGUGGUGAAAUGCGUAGAUAAUCGGGAGGAACACCAGUGGCGAAGG
rnacentral:rRNA from 1 species